rnacentral:rRNA from 1 species
UGUGCGUGGUAGGAGAGCGUUCCGUAAGCCUGUGAAGGUGGCUUGUAAAGGCUGCUGGAGGUAUCAGAAGUGCGAAUGCUGACAUGAGUAGCGUUAAAGCGGGUGAAAAGCCCGCUCGCCGUAAUCGCAAGGUUUUCUACGCAACGUUCAUCGGCGUAGAGUAAGUCGGCCCCUAAGGCGAGGCAGAGAUGCGUAGCUGAUGGGAAACAGGUCAAUAUUCCUGUACCGAUGUGUAGUGCGAUGUGGGGACGGAUCCUAAUAGGUCAUCCAGUUAUUGGAUUCUGGUUUAGGCAGAUGUAGACGACAGGUAGGAAAAUCCGCUUGUCAUAUGUUGAGGCUGCCAAUCGAGCGAGCUUGCUCGCGAAGUGACUGAACGGGGUUCCAGGAAAAGCCACUAAGCUUCAGCUGCACACGACCGUACCGCAAACCGACACUGGUGCGCGAGAUGAGUAUUCUAAGGCGCUUGAGAGAACUCUGGAGAAGGAACUCGGCAGAUUGACACCGUAACAAUAACGGUCCUAAGGUAGCGAAAUUCCUUGUCGGGUAAGUUCCGACCUGCAUGAAUGGCGUAACGAUGGCCACGCUGUCUCCUCCAGAGACUCAGCGAAGUUGAAAUGUUUGUGAUGAUGCAAUCUCCCCGCGGAAAGACGGAAAGACCCCAUGAACCUUUACUGUAGCUUUGUAUUGGACUUUGAACAGAUCUGUGUAGGAUAGGUGGGAGGCUUUGAAGUGCGGUCGCUAGAUCGCAUGGAGCCAACGUUGAAAUACCACCCUGGUGUGUUUGAGGUUCUAACCUGGGCCCAUUAUCUGGGUCGGGGACAGUGCAUGGUAGGCAGUUUGACUGGGGCGGUCUCCUCCCAAAGCGUAACGGAGGAGUUCGAAGGUACGCUAGUUACGGUCGGACAUCGUGACGAUAGUGCAAUGGCAUAAGCGUGCUUAACUGCGAGACUGACAAGUCGAGCAGAUGCGAAAGCAGGACAUAGUGAUCCGGUGGUUCUGUAUGGAAGGGCCAUCGCUCAACGGAUAAAAGGUACUCUGGGGAUAACAGGCUGAUACCGCCCAAGAGUUCAUAUCGACGGCGGUGUUUGGCACCUCGAUGUCGGCUCAUCUCAUCCUGGGGCUGUAGCCGGUCCCGAGGGUAUGGCUGUUCGCCAUUUAAAGAGGUACGUGAGCUGGGUUCAAAACGUCGUGAGACAGUUUGGUCCCUAUCUUCCGUGGGCGCUGCAGAUUUGAGAAAGCCUGCUCCUAGUACGAGAGGACCGGAGUGGACGCACCGCUGGUGUACCUGUUGUCACGCCCGUGGCAUCGCAGGGUAGCUAAGUGCGGAAGAGAUAACCGCUGAAAGCAUCUAAGCGGGAAACUCGUUUCAAGAUUAGAUCUGCCGGGGCCUUGAGCCCCCUGAAGAGUCGUUCAAGACCAGGACGUUGAUAGGCUGGGUGUGGAAGCGCAGUAAUGCGUUAAGCUAACCAGUACUAAUUGCUCGUGCGGCUUGACCCU